GCUCUCAGUCUUAGCACCAUCUUCCUUGAGACUCCUGCGCCAUGAGAGCGAAGUGGCAGAAGAGAAUGUGCAGGCUGAAGCGCAAGAGAAGAAAGAUGAGGCAGAGGUCCAAGUAAGCCAGCGGUGCACCCACGACACCUGCAGGAGCAGAAGUGAGGGAUGCUGAGGGCCGGGAUAAGCUAUCCGACUGUGUGCUGCCAUCGGUAAUGAGUCUCAGUAGACCUGGAACGUCACCUCGCCGCGAUUGCCUAGAGAAAUGACCGCCUUUCUUACAACCAAAACAGUCCCUCUGCCCUGGACCCCCGGCACUCUGUACUAGCUCUGUUCUCUUGUGGCCAAGUGUAGCUUGUGUACAAUAAACCUUCUUGCAGUCAGCUGAAG
rnacentral:lncRNA from 1 species